rnacentral:rRNA from 1 species
AUUGAACGCUGGCGGCAUGCCUUACACAUGCAAGUCGAACGGUAACAGGUCUUCGGAUGCUGACGAGUGGCGAACGGGUGAGUAAUACAUCGGAACGUGCCUAGUCGUGGGGGAUAACUACUCGAAAGAGUGGCUAAUACCGCAUGAGAUCUACGGAUGAAAGCAGGGGAUCGCAAGACCUUGUGCUACUAGAGCGGCCGAUGGCAGAUUAGGUAGUUGGUGGGAUAAAAGCUUACCAAGCCGACGAUCUGUAGCUGGUCUGAGAGGACGAUCAGCCACACGGGGCCUGAGACACGGCUCAGACUCCUACGGGAGGCAGCAGUGGAGAAUUUUGGACAAGGGGCGAAAGCCUGAUCCAGCAAUGCCGCGUGCAGGAUGAAGGCCUUAGGGUUGUAAACUGCUUUUGUACGGAACGAAAAGGCAUGGGUUAAGACCCUGGGGUCAUGACGGUACCGUAAGAAUAAGCACCGGCUAACUACGUGCCAGCCGCCGCCGUAA